rnacentral:lncRNA from 13 species
AUGACNNNNNNNNNNGUAGUAGUAGCAGUAGUAGUAGUAGUAGUAGUAGUAGUAGCAGUAACAGUAGCAGUAACAACAGUAGUAGCAGUAACAACAGUAGUAGUAGCAGUAGUAACAACAGUAGUAGCAGCAGUAGUAGUAGCAGUAGUAGUAGUAGUAGUAACAGCGGUAGUAUCAGUAGUAACAGUCGUAGUAGUAGCAGUAAUAGUAGUAGUAGCAGUAACAACAGUAGCAGUAGCAGUAACAACAGUAGUAGCAGUAACAACAGUAGUAGUAGCAGUAGUAACAACAGUAGUAGCAGCAGUAGUAGUAGCAGUAGCAGCAGUAGUAGUAGUAACAUCGGUAGUAUCAGUAGUAACAGUCGUAGUAGCAGCAGUAGUAGUAACAGUAGUAGUAACAGUAGUAGUAACAGUAGCAGCAGUUGUAGUAGCAGCGGUAACAGUAGUAGCAGCAGUGGUAGUAGUAGUAGCAGCAGUGGUAGUAUCAGUAGUAACAGUAGCAGCAGUUGUAGUAGCAGCGGUAACAGUAGUAUUAGUAGUAGUAACAGCUGUAGUAACAGUGGUAGUAUCAGUAGUAACAGUCGCAGUAGUAGUAGUUGUUGUAGUAGCAGUAGUAAUAGUAACAGUGGUAGUAUCAGUAGUAGUAGUAGUAGCAGUAGUAGUAGUAGUUGUUGUUGUAGUAGCAGUAGUAGUAGUAGUAGUAGUAGUAAUAGUUGUUCUAGUAGUAGUAUCAGUAGCAGCAGUUGUAGUAGCAGCGGUAACAGUAGUAGUAGUAGUAGUAGCAGCAGCAGUGGUAGUAUCAGUAGUAACAGUCGCAGUAGUAGUAGUUGUUGUAGUAGUAGUAGAAACAGUCGUAGUAGCAGAAGUAGUAACAGUAGUAGUAGUAAUAGUUGUUGUAGUAGUAGUAGUAGUAGUAGAAACAGUAGUAGUAGUAGUAUCAGUAGUAACAGUCGUAGUAGCAGAAGUAGUAACAGUAGUAGUAGUAAUAGUUGUUCUAGUAGUAGUAUCAAUGUUUGUCUUUAAUCAUGUUGAUUUUUUAUGGUGA